rnacentral:rRNA from 1 species
GAUAAACGCUGGCGGCGCACAUAAGACAUGCAAGUCGAACGGACUUAACCAUUAGUUUACUAUUGGAGCGGUUAGUGGCGGACUGGUGAGUAACACGUAAGCAACCUGCCUAUCAGAGGGGAACAACAGUUAGAAAUGACUGCUAAUACCGCAUGUUACUUUUUGGGGGCAUCCCUGAAAAGUCAAAGCUUUGUGUGCUGAAAGAUGGUCUCGCGUCUGAUUAGCUAGUUGGUGAGGUAAUGGCUCACCAAGGCGACGAUCAGUAGCCGGUCUGAGAGGAUGAACGGCCACAUUGGGACUGAGAUACGGCCCAG